rnacentral:rRNA from 1 species
AUUGAACGCUGGCGGCAGGCCUAACACAUGCAAGUCGAACGAGUGGCGGACGGGUGAGUAAUGUCUGGGAAACUGCCAGAUGGAGGGGGAUAACUACUGGAACAGGUAGCUCAUACCGCAUACCAUCGGAUGUGCCCAGAUGGGAUUAGCUAGUAGGUGGGGUAAUGGCUCACCAAGGCGACGAUCCAUAGCUGGUCUGAGAGGAUGACCAGCCAAACUGGAACUGAGACACGGUCCAGACUCCUACGGGAGGCAGCAGUGGGGAAUAUUGAACAAUGGGCGCAAGUCUGAUGCAGCCAUGCCGCGUGUAUGAAGAAGGCCUUAGGGUUGUAAAGUACUUUCAGCUGGGAGGCGUUACUCGCAGAAGAAGCACCGGCUAACUCCGUGCCAGCAGCCGCGGUAAUAC